CUACAACUUAAUUCAAUCAUAUAGCAAAGAAGGGAAAAAAAAUCAAUAUAAUUUCUGUAAAUCAUACUAAAGAUCACAUCAUCAAAGAGUCCUCAAGAUCUCUUGUCAAGAUUGACCUCGUGACAUAGGCUGCGCCAUAAUCCACUCUAGUUCUAAUCGUGGCGAUUUCGCGAAGAAGACUGUACUUGACACCCAGCUCGACAAAUUAAUUAUGCAUUCUAUCAAGAGGAGCAAGAAAGCAAGCGAACGAGCGGAGAAUGGCGAAUUGGAGGAAGAGGGAAAAGGAAGACACGUGCAAAAAGAAGGAAAAUAAAAGGAAGCUAUCUAAAGGAUCCAAAGUUUUCACCACUUCCUUUGGUUGAAAAUCGUGUUAUUCGAGGAAGUUAAACGAGGGUGAAUAACAUUUUAAUUGCCUCGAUCAAAUUAGACGUUUGUUCUCGUCGCGAGUUGAACAAUAAAAGUGGUGUGUGUUCGAGUUUAUGGUGUGCUGCUGUUUAAAUUUUCUGUGGAGAAUGCAUGUUAAUGGAACUAUUUUGAUUUGGUUGGCUUCAAUUGGUUAAUUUGGAUAGAAUAGAGGAAUUUUAUGAGGAUGUAUAAGUUAUUAGGUGUUGGAGAAUUUAUGUGUUAUGAAAGCCGCAUUAAUUAAGAAACAGCAAGGGGUUCCUUACGUGACGCGCAAAGAUGAAACAACCCGCUGUUUUCAAUCAAAAACAAAUCAUCCCGAGAAGGCGUAAUUAAAUUUGAAAAGAACUAAGGUAAAGUUUCAGUUACCCACGCUGUUCGAAUUAUAACAACGCAUACAAAAUUUGCUUAUUUUAUUCUCUUAUUUCGCAAAACGAAAAUUUAAUUGUAACAGCAAAUUAAUGAUACAAAAUGCUGUUUUUCAAUCUUAAAAGAUAAAUAUCGUAGAAGAAAUCUUUCACCGAUAAUAUCUAUACUAUCCUGUUGUGUUUAUGUUUAUGAAUCAGUAUGCAAAUGAAAUACUGAAUUUCACUUGGCCAUACAAACUUCUCUUGGUAUUUAAUAGAACUUUUAAUUAUAUUACUCGGCGUACAGAAAUUUCAAAGUUACUUAUCGUAAAUUAUAUUAUGGAAAUAUCGAAAAGAAAACAUUCAGGGCUUAAAAAUUUAAAAGAAUAUCAAUAUUUAAAAUAAAGAUACAAAAGAAUCUAUUAUUAUACGUGGAACUUUAUUUUAAAAACUAUCUCAAGUUCAAUAAUCUAAUUUUAUUUAUUAAAAAUUAUAAAUUUCGUUACAUGUAUUAAUAUUCCUACAUCAACGAAUCAAACACAAUAAGAUUAAAAAAAAAAAGUUAGUCGAAGCAAGGCGCCUCUUUGUGUCGCCUUCAUCAGUUCCACACGCCAUAAAAAUGAAAAAAUAAAAUAAAAAAAAAAAACUCUUACCAAACUAUCACAUCGAAGAGGAUUAAAAGAACAGAUGUACGAGCCACGACUAAUUACACGCCGAUAACUGGGAGAAGAAGGCCCGCAGGGAAUAAAAGAGGCCGAAACACGCGAUUAAUUUAUUAUUCGAACACGGUCGAAUUAAUUUAUUAUUCGAACACGAAACGAAUCUUUGCCGAUGACGAGGCUGCCGUAGGAAAAAAAAGCACGACGCUUGAAAAAUUAAUUAUGCAUGCAAUCCCGGCUUGCAAAAAGGUGUGACACACGUAGAUGCACGCAAAAAUUGAACGAGGAUUCUACUCGACGAGUAGAAUGGAUGUUGGAUAAGAAAAGAACGAUGUGGAAAGAAAAGGACGAAGGAUGGUAGGAAGGAAUGGUAAAAAGAUAGAGAUUGAGAUCGUGCAAGGAAUAUGGAAGAAAGUUGAGGAAGAUUUUCUCUUAUACUAAUUCGAGAUUAUUUUAUUAUUUAUCUUCUAUAAU